rnacentral:lncRNA from 1 species
AUGUUUUAACGUUACAGCGCAUUGUGCCGGGGUUAGCUACAAACUAUAUUGAAGUCUACAAACAUCAACAAGGUUUGCAAAGAUGCCCUCUCAAAACCACCACAUACAUGUUGGAAAAAGAGAGAAAUAUAUCCAAAUUAAAAGAGGGGGGGGGGGGGGGGGCAGCAAACUUGUCUGCAGAAAAGAUUCCAACAAUGUAAAAACAGAUUUUAUUCAAUCAGAUUACUUCAUCAACACCUCCUGAGUAGCCAUAACAGUGUUAAAAUUGGAAAUUAAUGUAACGGUCAAAUAAGCACAACAAAUAUUGAAAGGAAAGCAAGAUAUACAGCCAUGUAAGUCGUAUAGUUCUGGUACAGACCUGCAUUCAAGUUUCUCUCUGUUCCCAUGGACACUGUCACCCUUUUUCCUGGGUCAAUGACUUGAUCAAUUGCGACAGGCUGCGUAAAACUAGCAAUAUAAACUGAUGGCCAACACAAAAAAACCAAAAAAUUUAAUAAAAAAUGCCAACACUGUGAUUUCUUGUUCCGGGAUGCAGCAAUAGUAAUUUAUUUGAAGACAAGGGGGGAAAUAAAAUCCCAAACAUCCUAUUAAUGACAAAUAGAACUUUUGCUUUUCAAGCAGCCACACCAUUGGAAAACAAGGGGUAAAGGAAGCAAUGGCAAAGCACUGCAUACAAAGGCCCCGAUUCGGUCAUUCAGCGUUCCAACCUCAUGAUUGAACAUCAAGCCAAAUAAUCCUCAUAGAAUGAAAAAAAUCUACACUCAGCUUCACAGUCCUCAAAGUCUGAUAAAGAAUCUACACUUAGCUUCACAUUAAACUGGUGACCAAAUCCACAUAGGUACUCCAUCUCCAUGUAUCCUAUUCUUUCUGACCAACUUCAUAUUUUGAAGAAAAAAAGGACCCUAGGAAAUGGCAAAGUUCUAGCUUUUGAAAGCAAAUAAAGAUCAAUAAAUCAAAAAAGAAUAACAACAUUGCCUAAUUUACAUACAGCUUCUAUGUGGUUUUUUUCUCAUAGCCCAUAUUUAAUACCAUUUUACCAAUAUCUUGAAACCACAUUCCAGGUUAAGUUGUUCUCCUUCAUAUCUAAGCCCAUCUUAACAAUAUUUCAUCAAAACAAUGAUAACUGUAACAGUCAAUCUGAAGAAUAUGAAAUAGAAAUGAGAUAUGAGAGUAGCUCCAAUUGUAUUACUGUUACAAACUCUGCUAGUGAGUAGAUUCUUCUUUCAUUUGCAUACGUACGCUUCUUAACAUUCAAAGUGAAUCUGCCUAUCAGCUACAGAAACGGUAUGAGUCAUGAUGACAACAGCUACACUACAAGGAAAAAAGUAGCAACCACAUGCCUGUACACAAAGUAAGACAACACGUCGAAAUUGCAGCAUGAAGUACCUUGCUAAGCCCGAUGUCAACAAGUGUGCUUCCAGAUUUUAAAUUUCGAUCCUUCAAUGUGACACCUAGAAACAGAAAAAGAUGUCUCGGGGUGUUACCUAUCCAGCAAGUGUGUCAAGAUGAUAUUUAGAUCACAACACAACACGAUAAACAAAAGGGAUAACCAGAUCACAAAAGUACUUGAGAAAUUAUUCUGAAGAGAUGUUACAAGGAGAAGAAAGAAAUUUACUUGAUAGAUAGGGAAAAUUAGGUAAUUUAAACAUCUAAUGUAAGAUUCGUAUUGAGUCAAAAUAGGCCCCUUAGUUUUUCUAUUUACUAUAUUUCCAUCUAGAACUUUAUAUGUCAAUUAAAUAGGUACAAAAGUCUUUUUUCUUUAAUCAAGACAGAUAGGUGCAAAGUUAUAGCAUCAGUAAACCGAAUUUUUCAACAGAACUUACCUGAAGUUCAGCGAUCAAGUGUAAGCCAUCAUAUGCAUCAAACUUUGCACCAUAUCCCAUUUACCAUAUAUUUGAAAACAAAGAAGAAACAUGUUUGCUUUGACAACCAAACAGGCCCUUAAAUUUUGAUAAUCUUCUAGAAUUUUUGUAUUUCAAAUCUUGUUUUUAGGUAGCUAUACACAAUAGCUAUGCCUAGAUCCAUAACUAGAUAACUAUUUUUUGGUCAAAAUACAUCAACUAAAGACAAUAGAUAGGUGCAAAGUUAUAGCAUCAGUAAAGUGGACUUUGCAACAGGACCUACCUGAAGUUCAGCGAUCAAGUGUAAGCCAUCAUAUGCACCAAACUUUGCAC